AUUGAACGCUGGCGGCAGGCCUUACACAUGCAAGUCGAACGAGUGGCGGACGGGUGAGUAAUGUCUGGGAAACUGCCCGAUGGAGGGGGGUAACUACUGGAAACGGUAGCUAAUACCGCAUACCAUCGGAUGUGCCCAGAUGGGAUUAGCUAGUAGGUGGGGUAACGGCUCACCUAGCCGACGAUCCCUAGCUGGUCUGAGAGGAUGACCAGGCACACUGGAUCGGAGACACGGUCCAGACUCCUACGGGAGGCAGCAGUGGGGAAUAUUGCACAAGGGGCGCAGGCCUGAUUGAGCCAUGCCGCGUGUAUGAAGAAGGCCUUCGGGUUGUAAAGUACUUGCAGCGAGGAGGCGUUACUCGCAGAAGAAGCACCGGCGAACACCGUGCCAGCGGCCGCGGUAAGUC
rnacentral:rRNA from 1 species